rnacentral:rRNA from 1 species
AGUGAACGCUGGCGGUAGGCCUAACACAUGCAAGUCGAACGGCAGCAUAGUAAGAGCUUGCUCUUACGGGUGGCGAGUGGCGGACGGGUGAGGAAUACAUCGGAAUCUACUUUUUCGUGGGGGAUAACGUAGGGAAACUUACGCUAAUACCGCAUAUGACCUACGGGAGAAAGCAGGGGUUAUUCGGACCUUGCGCGUUUGUAUGAGCUGAUGCCGGAUUAGCUAGUUGGCGGGGUAAAGGCCCACCAAGGCAACGAUCCGUAGCUGGUCCGAGAGGAUGAUCAGCCACACUGGAACUGAGACACGGUCCAGACUCCUACGGGAGGCAGCAGUGGGGAAUAUUGGACAAUGGGCGCAAGCCUGAUCCAGCCAUACCGCGUGAGUGAAGAAGGCCUUCGGGUUGUAAAGCCCUUUUAUUGGGAAAGAAAAGCAGCAGGUUAAUACCCCGCUGUUCUGACGGUACCCAAAGAAUAAGCACCGGCUAACUUCGUG